CCAACGGCCCUCUUUAGGGCCACAAAUUUGGAAAUCCACAUUGGUU
rfam:Caenorhabditis japonica strain DF5081 Contig17800.12, whole genome shotgun sequence.